GACGAACGUUGGCGGCGUGCUUAAUACAUGCAAGUCGACUGAAGCAGUGGUAGCAAUAUCGCUGUGUAGGGUGCCCACGGGGUAGUAACAAGUAGGUAAUCUUCCUUCAGAUCUUGCAUAACCCCGGGAAACCUGGGCUAAUAGCAGAUUAGGCAGCGCCGCGACAUCGUGGCAGUUGGUAAAGCUAUGCGGCCGGAAGAUGAGCCUGCGUCUGUUUAGGUAGUUGGCGGGGUAACGGCCCACCAAGGCAACGAUCAGUAGCUGGUCGGGGAGGAUGACCAGCAAGACUGGAACUGAGACAGGGUCCAGACUACUGCGGGAGGCAGCAGUAAAGAAUAUUGUUCAGUAGAAGAAAUACUGAAGGAGAAACGCCGCGUGAGAGACGAAGUGCUUUUGAUUGUAAACCGCUGUAGUGAGAGAAAAAAAUCCCGAUCAAUGGGACGUGAUGGUAUCUCAAAAGUAAGCCCCGGCUAACUACGUG
rnacentral:rRNA from 1 species